rnacentral:tRNA from 1 species
GCCGAUGUGGUGGAAUUGGUAGACACGCUGUCUUGAGGGGGCAGUGGCGUAAGCCGUGCCGGUUCGAGUCCGGCCAUCGGCA